CCUACGGGUGGCUGCAGUCGAGGAUCUUCGGCAAUGGGCGCAAGCCUGACCGAGCGACGCCGCGUGUGGGAUGAAGGCCCUCGGGUUGUAAACCACUGUCAGAGGGGAUGAAAUGCCAUGGGGUUCUCUUCAUGGUUUGACAUAUCCUCAGAGGAAGGACGGGCUAAGUUCGUGCCAGCAGCCGCGGUAAGACGAACCGUCCAAACGUUAUUGGGAAUAAGGGGCGUUAAAGGGGGCGUAAGUUGCGCGUGAAAGCCCUCGGCUUAACCGAGGAAUUGCGCUCAAAACUGCCGUGCUUGAGGGAGAUAGAGGUGAGCGGAACUUAGGGUGGAGCGGUGAAAUGCGUUGAUAUCCUAAGGAACACCUGGGGCGAAAGCGGCUCACUGGAUCUUUUCUGACGCUGAUGCACGAAAGCAAGGGUAGCGAACGGGAUUAGAUACCCGGGUAGUC
rnacentral:rRNA from 1 species